UUAAAGAUGGCGUCAUAGCUCGUACAAUUACGAUUACUUUUAACUUGAGUAAACAAUACCGCAUUCUUCUGUUUUUCUGUGUUUAUAAGACUACAAGUGAUAUGUUUGUUAUAAUGCAUCACAUUUAUAUGAUUCAAACUAAACAUACAGACAUAAGCGACUAGAUAUAUUUAUCAUAUUAUAAUGCAUUAUAAAAUGGAUUAUUUUUAAUUAUAUUUAAUUUUAUAUCAUUUACGCAUAUACUUAUUUUAACUGUUUCCAGUAGCUUUGCAUAACUUGCAAUAGUAUAGCAAGUAUGUCAAGUAAACCAGUUUAAAUUUUAAUGCUUACUUGGCAAAUUAUUUGCCAAAUAAUUAUUAUUUGGUUUACAACAAAUAAACGUUUAGUUUUAAUCUACAUUAAAUAACAAGUGUAUUAAUGUACAUAGUGUAAUCUAAUGUACAUUAAAACUUAUAUAAUUAUUAUUAUAAAACUUAUAUAACAUAUUAAACAAACUUAUCUAAAAUAUUAAUAUACAAGCAGUAUAUCAGAUAAGAUUAGAUAACUAAGAUAAGAUAAGAUAAUAAGAUUAGAUAACUAAUGUACAAAAGAUAACUAAUAUAAUUUUUUUUAUUUUUUUUUUUAUAAUAUCCUCAGAUUACAUAGAAAUGCUUGAAGUUAAUUGUAUGGUAAAUGUUCAUUAAGUAUUAAAAAACGUUUUUUUUAUGAUAAAUGUUCUAUUCAGUUUUAGUUCUGUUAAUAGGUACGUGGAAAUAUCCGUUUUACGGAACCGAAUUAUGUGCUAAAAAACUGUGCCACGCUUUUUAGAUUUUUUUUUAACUAGCGUUGGGAAGACGUGUUUAGUUAAAAAACUUUUUAGAAUUUGAUAUCAAUAUAGAUUAUUUUUAGAAACUAGAAUAGUUAAUCUUUAUUACUGUGAGCUUCAUUAUUUUACUGGAUGGCUUUUUUAUUGAGUUUUUUGAUGUCUAAAACUUUGUUGUACUUUGGGCAUGAAAUUAAUGUCGAAGGUAUGCUCUUUUUUUUUUCUAUACUAUUCUUUUUUUUAAGUUUUUCAUUUAUCUAUGCACCUGGAAAAUUUCAUUGAAAAAAAAGUUGUAGCAGGGUGUCUAUUUUUUGUCGCACUUUUCCUACCUAAUUUUCAAUUUUGCUGAAGUGGUCGCGGGAGACAGAGGGGUUAAAUAAACAUUGUUUACAUUUGAUUCUGAUUAAAUAAAAUUUCAGUUUUUUUUUAGAUUAAAUAAAAUGGAAAAUAAAGAUGUUGAUAAAGGUUUACAAUAUUGUUUCCUAUUUAUUAAAAUUUUAAAAAAGUUAUUUGCCUUCAAUGUAAAGUUAUUGAAACUUAUUAACUUUACAUUGAAGGCAAAUAAUUUAAUUUAACUGAAUUUUAAUGUUUCCUUACUUGAAAGUUGAAUUUUUUAAAAAUGUAACUGACAUAUUAGUAACAUUAUAACAUAUUUUAUCUUACAUUGUAAUCAUUAAAAAAAUUGUUGUAUCAUGAUGAUCAUGAUACAACAAUUAGUCUCUCCAAUAACAAUUGUAAUAAACUACUACUAGUAGUAGUAUAUUACAAUUGUUAUUGGAGAGUCUUGUUGUAUCAUCAUGAUACAACAGUAAGUAGUAUAUUGUAAUUGUUAUUGGAGAAAAAAGUCUAGUUUUUACCUAGACUUUUUUAUAAAAAGAUGCACGAUAAUCAUCUUUUUUUUUUAAUGAUUAACUGUUAAUCUUUCAACUGUAACAAAUAAUAUAAAUUAAAUAUGGUCAUAUUUAACUAAUAUAUGUUAGCAACCUUAUUCAACUUUUAUGUAUAAUAAAUGUAACGUAAAUAAUCAAGAACAUUUGUUAUAUUGUUUAGCUGCCCAAAGCAGUCCUACGGCAGCAGCCAACAAUAUCAGUUAGUUAUUUUAAACAUUAAAUAUUCAUUAGUUUCUUUUAACUUAAGAUCAGUAGAUUUAUUCAAAUGUUUGUAUUAUUUUGCUAAAAAAAGUUUUUCAUUUUUUGUUUAGAUGAUGCUUUUGAGAGGAUAAGUCAGUUUUUUUUGGCGAUUUAUUAUUUUAGUAUUUAGUCUUUUGCUCUCAAUAUUAAAUUAUAUAUCUUUAUUAUGCUAUGUGUUUUGUACCGAUUUUUGUGCAUCCACAAAGUUUUUUCACAGUUGUUUAUUUUGUAUAUUCCUGAUUAUUUCUUGCUUUUUAUUGAGUCAUUGUUAUUUUUUUUCUAUAGACAAUUUAGAACAAACUAUUAGUAAGUAAAGUUUGAACUAUUUUAGUUAUUUAGUCAUUUGAACUUUUUUUUUUUGUAAUGUUAGUCUGAUAAUUUAAUUUUAUAAUAAAGUUAGUAUAUUUAAAUUGGCUUUUAGGCGAAUUCAGACAGCAGUUUUGUAAGUUUAAUAAAUUUAAACAAUUUCAAUAGUAUAGUUUAAUGAUUCAUGCUAAGAUUAUUAUUUAAUUGAUACAGGUUAAAGCUGUUUACUCUAUUGACACACGCUAACUAAAGAUGUAACGAAAAGUGUAACUUGAAAUUAAGUUUAUUUUAGUAAACUAUUGUUAUUACUAUUGUUACUAUUUUUUCCUUUUAAUUCUUUAGCAACACUUACUUCAUUAAUUGGUAAGAGAUUAAGGUGUAUUUUUAUGUUUAAGUAUUGAGAAAUAUAGUUUGAUUUUGUGUAUUAUGCAGUAUUGUACUAUUUAAUAUGUACUAUGUUAUUGUAUAUUUAAUAUGUACUAUGUAUUUAUAUUUAACAUGUAAUAUUUACAUGUACCAUUUAAUUUUUUGUGUCAUUGUAUUAUUUAAUCUUUCAUAUCCUUGUCAUCUGUUGCAGCUGGUAAGGUUUCUAUAUUAUGAUAUUUCAAAAUUAUUUAUAUGGCAAAGUAAUUGCAAGAGCAAGUUUUUUGUUCAUUACAUUUUUUUUUUUUUUUUGAAGUAUCAUCUAUAGCUGCUCUAUCUGGUAAGGUUUUUUUAUUUUAACUUUUUAAUAUAUUUUUAAUAUUCAAAUUUUAAUAAUAACUUCAAGAUUGGUAUGUGUAUUAUAUGCUUCCAUAUUUUAAAGUUAUUUAAAAAUUGUAUUUUUUUACUUUGUAACAUGAUUUAAUAAAAAAAAUCAUGCAAUAUAUUUUAUACUAAUCCAACUGGUAAGUUUAUUUAUUUUAACUUUGUAAUAAGACUUUCAUAGCAAGGUAAUUAUGAAAAUAAUAAAUUAUUAUGAUUUUUUUUUUUUAGUACCACCAUUAUCUGUUUCAGAUGUUCCACCUUCCACUGAUCUAACUGGUAAGGUUGUAUAUUUUUGCUUUGCAAUAUGAUUUGCAAUAAGAUUGUGUAAAAUGCUUUUUCAUUUCUUUUUUAGUGCCAUCAUCAUCUACUCCAACUGUGGCAUCUUCAUCUGCUCCAAUUGUGCCAUCAUCAUCUACUCCAACUGUGCCAUCAUCAUCUACUCCAACUGUGCCAUCAUCUGCUCUAACUGUCGUUCAUUAACAAGUCCGGUGCUUUAUAAUAUAUUUAAAGGUGGUAAGGACGUGAAGAAAACAGGUUUGUAAAUGAUGUUGUACAUCAUGCAGAUAGCUCAGAAGAAGAAAUUGGUGAAAUGAAGAAUAAGACUAACUACGGUGAAAAAAUAAUGAAUAUCAAAAUGUGAAUGGUACUUUGUUUGACAUCUAUCUGUUUCUACAGACACAAUGCAGUCGCACUUAUAAAUGGGCUUGAUGUUUUUUUGGAUUGAAUAUGUUGUAUUGAUGGUUCUUUUUAACUUGUUAAAACUUUAAGUUAUUAUCAAAUUUAUAUAUACUAUUUUUAUCAAAUAGUUAAUAUAAAAU